UGCCGGGUCGUCUAAUGGUAGGACGUCUCCCUUUGAAGGAGAAUAUUGGGGUCCGAAUCCCUGCCCGGCAG
rnacentral:tRNA from 1 species